CCGGAUCGAGAAACGCUGAUCAACACCCCGUCGCGAGGGCCCGACCUACCUCGGUAUCCAAUUCAGCCGACAGAAGACUCCCAACAUCGACCCGUGGACCGAUCUUGAGUCACCAGCCACGGUACAUUUGUUCACCAACACGGUGAACACGUGACAAGCAUACAAAAUCUAAGGAGAUAAUAGAGAGAAUCUAAGUCACCGACCGCUGUGAUCUACCAAUUAAACUAUGGGAUGAAUCCUUGGAUCCAAUUAGUUUACCUGUCGGGUGGAACAUGAAACCAACGGCCGUU
rnacentral:lncRNA from 1 species